rnacentral:rRNA from 1 species
GACGAACGCUGGCGGCGUGCUUAACACAUGCAAGUCGAACGGAAAGGCCCUGCUUUUGUGGGGUGCUUGAGUGGCGAACGGGUGACUAACACGUGAGUAACCUGCUCUUGACUUUGGGCUACCUUCAGCAAACUGGAGCUACUACCGGAUAGGAUCUCCUCCUGCAUGGUGGGGGAUGGCAUGUUCCGGCGGUUGGGGAUGGACUGGGGGUCUAUCAGCUUGUUGGGGGGGUAGUGGCUUACCAAGGCUUUGACGGGUAGCCGGCCUGAGGGGGUGACCGGCCACAUGGGGACUGGGAUACGGCCCAGACUCCUACGGGAGGCAGCAGUGGGGAAUAUUGCACAAUGGGCGGAAGCCUGAUGCAGCAACGCCGCGUGCGGGAUGACGGCCUUCGGGUUGUAAACCGCUUUCGCCGGGGACGAAGCGUGAGUGACGGUAAUGGGUAAAGAAGCACCGGCUAACUACGUG